UGAUGAUGGUGAUGGCAAUUUCUAAGCUUACUAUUAAAUCUCUCCCAAGCUUGGUAGAAAUUCUCUUCUUCUUUCUAUCUAAAGCUCCAAAUAUCACUUCUCAAACA
rfam:Capsicum annuum cultivar Zunla-1 chromosome 6, whole genome shotgun sequence